rnacentral:lncRNA from 1 species
CAUCUGACUUAUGUACUUUAGAACAGGAUCCGAUGAAUCAGUGUCCCCCAACGGAGGCAGGGCACUUCUCAAGGUCAUAGAUGGACCAAAUGGGCCUCCAUUUGAGAUCCCUCUUGUCGAGGGAAACAUUAGAUCUCCAAUACCGAGGUCGAUAGAUUUUGAAGGGAGAUCAUUUGGACGGUCUACUUUAUUCGAAAGAAAAGCACUAUCUGAGGAUUUAAGAUCUAGGAAAGGGUCAUCCAAAAAGAAACCAUCUGUGAGACUCGGGUAUCGAUCUGGACUAGUUGAAAAGGCAUGGCUAUCUAUGGGACGAUCAUCUCCAUUGAUACAAGCGGAGGAAUCAAAGAACAGAGGAUCCAUGGUCGUAUACUCUCCUCAAACCCUAUCAAAGUCUCUGCCCCAACAUCAUGUUUUGAUGCAAACCACCAGUAUGUUUGGACUCCUAGAAAGUCAACCAACUAAAUUAAAUUGCUCCCAACCUGCAACAAAAGAACUCACUCUCCAAUCUUCUUCUUCUUUUUCUCUUCGUUUGCUCAAACAAACUUCAAUUUAAAGUCAAAGAAUCCAAGAACAGACGGAUCACUUGCAGGGAAGAAAGCGGAGUACUUCAAAGGGCAAAGGACCACACGGGAGGUAAACAUCGAAACUUCAAAGGCAAAGGACCAUGCAGGAAGUAAACAUCGAAAUUGCUCCUCCAAAGCAAAUGAAAAGGAAAGGCACAGAACCCGACUUUUCAUCUACAACAUAGAAAAGGAAAAACAUGGAUUGGAUCGGAUCUGCAUGCCGCAAAUGGGAAAGUGGGGUUGGAAGCUGCAAAAAGACCGACCUGAUGACAAGUUCUUUCGAUGCGAUUCUUAAAAUACGAGCCAAUCAGGGGAUGAAUGAUUGCGUGCAGGUCAGCAUAUUCCGCGAAGGUGACGAGCUGGAUAACCCAACUCCGACUUGAUAUCCAAAAGAGAUUGGCGUAGGAUGAUUUGGGUCAAACAACAAGGCGGACACAGACGAUCUCCAUCUGCGCCUCUUCCUCUUCGUGUCCCUUCGACCCGUGAAUCGGUCAACCAUGGAUCCCGCUUUAACCAGCUGCGGAUGAUGAUUCGUUAGGUUUACCUAGCCAGUAAUUGGCAGCUGCUGCGAAACAAAAAAAGUCAAAGCAAAGAGGCAGAAAACUCCCGGGAAAAAACCACUAAAAAUUCUCAAAUUCGGACCGCUGUGUGCCGACCAAUACCUGAAUUUUUAUGUGUCUUUAAAAACUCUAAAUUACGCACGUGGCAAUAUCAAUAGCCUUGAUCUCGUCUAAUGUUGCCAUAAAAAAUUUUAUGUGGCUGGUUAAGAGGACAUCAAAAAGCAAACCGGACUAAAAUGACUUUGACAUGACUUAAGUGAAGAAAAAACACCGUCAUUAAAGUAAGAAAACAGUCCAUUGUUCUCCUUCGACUUCAUUAUUUCUUUUUCUUUUUACCUUUUUGCGCAAAAAGAAGCAUAUUAAGAAUUCAAUAAUUUCUUGUGUGUUUUGCAUUUUUCCAUUAAUGUCUGUGUGUGUAAGAGAUCCACAAUAAUCGGUCCUCAUUCGGCUUAGAAACUCAUUCUUCGACCCAUGGAGGGAAGCCCCUCUUCAAUUGGAAUUCAAGCUCAGGUGCGUGCAAUUGUGGUGAUUGGUUUGGUGUCUCAAGUGACCUUAAGGCUCUAUUCGUUUCGCAAAAAAUAUGACAUUUUUCAAAAAUAUUUCUAGGAAAAUAUGUUUAUUUUUCAAUGUUUGAGUAAAAUUUAAAAAUGAAGUGGAAAAUAUUUUUUGUUGGUUAGUAAGGAAUAUUUUUUAUCUCCAUACACUCUUUUUCAAUAAUUGUAUUAUUAUUUUAUCUUUUAAAAUCGAUUUUUUAUUUUUUUUAUUUUUUUAUAAAAAUCGAUUUUUAUUUCUUUCUUAUAUUUUGAAAAAUUGAUUAUCAAAUUAUCUUUUUCUUUUUCUUUUUCUUCUUUUCUUCUUCUUUUCUUUGUUUUGCUCUUCAUCUUCGAUCGGUUGCCAACAACCAACCACAAGAAAGCCUCAAGCGAGAGACUCUGGCGAGGCCCAAGGCCAACAAAUGCGAGACUCACCAAAUCGACAAGCUUAAGCCAAAGGCAAGGCUCGCACUCACUAAUCUGGCAAGCCUCGGGUGUCACUAGAUCUCGAGGCUUGCCAAAUUAGCGAGCUAGAGGCUCUUGCUCGCAGAUCAGGCGAGCCUCAAGCUUGCUAGCAAGGUCGAGGGUGGCUUGUAGCCAAUCGUCAACCGCCGUUGUGGCUAGCGACCAACCAAGAAAGAAGAAGAGGAAAACAAUGAAAAAAAAAAGAAAAAAAAAAGUAAGGACUUGUAGGGGUGUCAAAUGAGAGAGAGUAAGUGGGGGAAUUGUUUUCUCUUAUUUGAAAAGUAGAAACAUUUUCCUUUAUUUUAGAAGACUUUUUUUUCUUCAUGGAAAAUGUUUUCCUCAAGUAAUUCAUUUUCUAUGAAAGGAACACUAGAAAAUCUAGAAAAUAUUUUCUUAAAAAUUAUUUUCCACGAAACGAAUAAAGUGUAAUUAGACCUUCAUCUCUCAACAUCACCAUGAGAGAGAGAGAGAGAGAGAAAGAGAGAGAGUGAGUGAUGAAACCUUAUUUUUGAUCCAAUUCGACUUUAGCAACCAAAACAUUGUCGUUUAUGUUUCAUGGCCACAUCAAAUUAUCUCCGAACAAAACCUUGUUGUUAGCUACUUCCUUCCGUUCUCGGUACUCUAACAACAAUCUAGAAAGGAUUGUGAUUGAGCAUGUUGCUAUGAAUACUGGUGUCAUGGUUUGUAUAACAUGAAUUUUUCAUGUUAUUUUAUCAUCUUUCAAAUUAGUUGAAUUUGGGAUUUUUAUCUUAAGAGGGCAUGUGAAUAUUGGUUUGUUCAUAAAAUUAUAAAUGCAAGUAAACAUGUCAAACAAAUAAUAUAAUGAUAAGAACAAGUAUCGCCCCCACAAAGAUUUAUGAUUAAUAAAUUAAUUAAAUACUAAAAAUAGAUUAAUUAUAAAAUUUAUCUAACAGAUCAAAAUAGAAUUGAGAAUAAAUUAAAACUAAAAAUCUUAAAAAUUAAAUUUUGAGACUAAAUACAAUAAAUCAAUCAGAUAAAUAUGUUAGAGCAUCCGAUUUUAUAAUAACUAUUGGAUAUAAAUUUCAAAUUAUUAUGCAUACAAUAACGAUAUUAAACUUGUGAUAGUGGAAUUUCUUAAUUGAUUUACUAACCUACUCGGUUUACUAAUCAACUAUAUCUUUAUGUUAAUUUAAAUAAACAUAAGUGUAUUAAAAUUUAUGAAUAUUCCCGAUUUAUAAUGAGUCUUUUUUAUCACCAUCAACGAAAGUUACACAAAUAGCAUGGUAUAUCUCUAUCAACAUUUAAUUCAUGAUUAUUUAUUAUAAUGAGUAAUUAUAUAUCAUCACUUUUAAUCUCAAAUAUGCACAUUAGAUCAUUCAAGUGAUGAUCAGUCACUUGCACGCAUAAAAAUCAUGAAAUUCACAUAAUCAUGGUUAGGUUACAUCAUAACCCUAACAAAAGAAAAUUAGAAUAUUGUAGAAAAAGAAACGAAAAUAUAAAUUAAACCCAACGUCUUGAAUCAUAGAUUAAGAAUGUUGCUACCACAUUAUUUUCUCUCGAGAAUGCUAAAAAAAAAUACUCUCAAAAUAAUGAAAAAUAUCUAAAAAAAUUCCAAAAUCCUAGCUGUCUAUAUUAUCCUAUUUAUACAACAUGUUCAAGAAUCCUAACAAAAUGCAAUUGCUUAUUUUUUUGCAUAAAACCAAGGAAUAAAUCACAGAAUCCUUGAUUUAGUAUCCAUCUUCCAACACUUUUUAAUUUGAAUUUCUAAAUGACAAAAACUUCCUUACCUUCUUUUGCCAUCUUUUUUUACUUAUUUUCUCCAUAUCUCAUUAUUCUGCAUAAACAAUGAAGAUUUUGGUAAAUAGAAGGAAAUCCAAUUAUUUUCUACUGAAUAUUGCAUUAUAAAUUCAUUGCCUAAAAUAGGUAAAAUUAACUCUAUUAUUAUAGAGUUAUCAAACUCCCAAACUUAAUAUUUUGCUAGUUCUCAAGCAAAAGCAAGAUAUAACACAUACUCAAGCUAACAACAUCCUCCAUGACAUCUUUCCAUAAUUGCUCAAAUUCAUAAUUCAAAGAAAAACACAAAUUUCAUCCAAACAUUGAAAUUGAUUUAUAAUUUAAGACCAAUUCUAACUAUGUAAUCAAAAUGUGUGUGAGCCAUCAUCUUUUAAAAUUAUAUGUAAUCUAGAUAAAUUCAAAUUUGUAUACAACUUCUCAAAAAUUCUCUAUAAUCAUGACCAAAUCUUCUAGGUUUGCUUUUCAUUCAUCUCUCCACUAAUGUAAGCUAAUUAUCCAAUCAAAAAUCAAUAGGACUUUUCUCGGUUUAUAAUAUAAGAUUGUGCUAAAUGUGAGAUAACUUUAAUUUCAAGCUUAAAUCACCUAUCAACACAUUAAAAUCCAAAGUCCCCAAUUUCACUCCUUCAAGAUAUCUCCCACCACAUAUCAUCAUUCCUUUUUUUUCCUUCUUUUUUUUCAUUGCUCUUUUUUUUUCUUUCAAAUUGCUUUAUGGUGGAGUUCCACCCAAAGUCCCUCCUAAUAUAACAUGAAUAUCUCCAAUCCAUUGAGUAUCCAAAAGGCUCACUCAAAUGAAAGUUCAAUAGGGAACCAUAAAAGCCAUUUUUUUUUAUGAUAUACCCCAAACAACCAUAGCAUUCAAUUUUUUUUUCUUUUUCAUGCUCCGUCCUUUCUCCCAAAUUGUUAUUAGGCUAAAAUAAACUUUUAUCCAAAAAAAAAUCAAUAUGUUCAUGGGGCAUGUGACAAUGAUAUAAUUUAAUAAAAGUUAAGCUAAACAUAUAUUGAUGUCAAUGAAAAUUGGAUAAUAAUUAAUGCUCAACUUAGAGGGUUGGCAAGAAAUGCUCAAUUGAUCCAAAAAUUGUUUGGAUCAUUUUCUCAGUUAGAUGUAACUUAAAUUUUGCUUCAAGAGAAAAUCAAACAAAUUCUAAGAUUUCGGUGAGAUCUAAGAAAAUCACAUACUUUGCAUGAAUGUUCUCUAUAUUUACACACAAUUAAAAAAUUAAUGACUUUUAAAACUAGUAAGUGGAUCAACAUAAUCGGAAUUAAAAUUAACUCACACAUCAGUUGCAAAUUCAAACAAAAUUUAAAUUUUCCUAAGAAUCGCAAAAAUUCACAAUAAGGAAUGUAAUCAUGAUAAAAAAAAAAAUUGCAUUUAACAAAAAUUUUGUCUCCCCCCAAACUUGAGUGAAGCAUUGUCCUCAAUGUGAAAAAGAAAAAUAGAAACAAUGAAACUCCCCUUGUUGUAGGACGUGUCCAUGGAUGGCCUUGAUGACUAAACUCUUAAAACACAAUUCCUCAAGAAAGAAAAUUAACCUGGAUAAAAUAGCAAAAAAUUAAUCUCUUUUUUUUUGUGAAAAGUAAACUUAAUAAUAAAUGAAGAAACAUAAUGAAAAUUUUUAGGUGGCCUCCCAAGAAGCGCUUGGUUUAUAGUUUUUAACCAAACUAUCUCAAAUGUUACUAUUCCGGAUAAUCAAAUUCAGUGGUGGCCUUCUGCUUAUUGUAACCACAUUCAAAGUGGGCCUUCAAACGUUGACCAUUCACCUUGAAUGCGCCCUUGGUAUCAUGCGCAACUUCAACUGUUCCAUAUAGGAAUACUAAAGUGACUAUAAAAGGAUCAGAUCAUCAAGACUGUAACUUUUCUAAAUAAAAUAUAUAUAUAUAUAUAUAUGACGAGAAUUAUAAAAUAAAACUUUUUGACCAAUUUUGAACUCUCUUCUGAAUAUGUGUUUGUCAUGCCAUCUUUUUGUACGCUCCUUUUACAAUUCAAAAUUUUCAUAGAUCUCACUGCGAAAUUUCUCCAAUUCAUUCAGUUGCAACAAUUUUUCUUCACUUGUAGAUUGCAUGUCAAAAUUCAAAAAUUUUAAUGCCAAAUAUAAUUUAUGUUCUAAUUCCACUAAUAAGUGACAAGCCUUCCCAAACACUAGCCUAAAAGGAGACAUCUCAAUUGGAGUUUUGAACACAAUCUUAUAAGCCCAGAGUGUAUCAUCAAGUUUCAUUGACCAAUCUUUCCUUGAGGCAUUUACUAUUUUUUCUAAAAUUCUCUUGAUUUUCCUAUUUGAAACUUCUACUUGACAUUUAGUUUGAAGAUGAUAAGAGGUUGCAACUUCGUGCGUAACACCUACUUACUCAAAAUUACUUCAAACUGUUUGUCGUAAAAAAUGUGCUCUCUAUCACUUAUGAUUGCCUUAGGAAUGUCGAAUCGAGUAAAAAGUAUUUUUCUCCAAGAAUUUGACCACAACCUUAACAUUAUUUGUUAGCAAUACUACAGCUUCUACCCACUUAGACACAUAUUCCACAACCACUAAAAUGUAUAGAUUCUCAUAAGAAAUUGUAAAGGGUCCCAUGAAAUCAAUACCUCAAAUAUCAAAUAAUCCACACACAAUAAUAUUGUUUAAAGGCAUUUCAUUUUUGAAAUAUCUUUAGUUCUCUAACACCUAUCACAUGAAGUUGCGUAGAAGUAUGUAUCUUUAAAAAGUGUGGGCCAAUAAAAUCCAGAUUGUAAAAUCUUAGUUGCAAUUUUGGUGAUACCAAAAUGGCUACCUACCUCUCCAUCAAUGAUGUAGAAUGCUUGCCCUCUCUUAGCUUGGAACAAUCUCCUUAUGACCCAAUCUGCACAUAUUUUAAACAAGAAAGGCUCUUCCCAAAAAUAAUUUUUAACAUCAGAAAAGAAUUUUUUUUUUUUCUAUUGAUAUGAUAAUUCAGAAGAAAGAACAUUACUUACCAAAUAAUUCAUAAAGUCAGCAUACCAGAAAAUUUGUGUGGAUUUGAUGGAAAAAAAUUUCUCAUCAGGAAACUCUUCAAAAAUUAGUCUUACAUCUUCCUUUAAAUUCGUAAUUCUUCAUAAAUGAUCCACAAUUAGAUUUUCAACCCCCUUCUUAUCUUUGAUUUCCAGAUCAAAUUCUUGCAGUAAUAGAAUCCACCUUAUUAACCGGGGUUUUGAUUCUUUCUUUUCAAGCAAAGACUUAAGAGUAGAGUGAUCAAAAUAAAUCAUAAUUUUUUAGCCAAUUAAAUAAGAACGAAACUUAUUAAAAGCAAAAACUACAGCCUAAAGUUCAUUCUCUGUUGUUGAAUCAUUUAAUUGUACACGAUAAGGUUCAACUAACAUAGUAUAUGAUUUGAAAAACUCCAUUUUUUCCUUUGUCCCAAAAUAGCUCCCAUUGUAGAAUCACUAGCAUCACACAUCAACUCGAAAGGUAAACCUCAAUCUAGUGCUACCAUAAUUGGUGCUAACACUAAAUUCUCCUUUAAAAUGUUAAAAACAUGUAUGCAUUCAUCAGAAAAACUAAAAGGAACAUCUUUUUCCAAAAGAUUAGAAAGAAGUUUAGCAAUUUUUUAAAAAUCUUUUUUAACCACAUGUAAAGUCCUACAUACACCAAAAAUCCACUGACAAGUUUCACAAAUGUUGGUGGAGGCAAUUUUGCAAUGACCUCUAUUUUGGCUUAAUCAACUUCUAUUCCAUUUUGAGAAAUUUUAUACCCAAUCACUAUUCCUUCCUGCACCAUGAGUGACAUUUCACCCAAUUCAAAAUAAGGUUAGUCUCUUCACAUUUUUAUAAGAUCUAAGCCAAAUUAUUUAAACAAAAAUCAAAUGAUUGGAAAAAUCAUUUAUGAAAAUCUCAAUAUAUUUUUCAAUCAUAUCAGAAAAAAUAGCCAUCAUACAUCUCUAAAAAGUGCACGGUGCAUUAUAAAGACCAAAUGGCAUUCUUCUAAAAGCAAAAGUACCAUAGAGACAAAUGUAAGUAGUCUUCUCUUGAUCUUCUAGUGCAAUAGGAAUUUGAUUAUGCCCUGAAUAUCCAUCAAUAAAGUAAUAAAACUCAUGUCAUGCAAGUUUUUCCAACAUCUGAUCAAUAAAUAGCAAAGGUAGGUGAUCUUUUGUAGUGCCAUCAUUCAAUUUUCUGUAAUUCAUCCACACACACCACCCAGUAAUUAUUCUAGUUAGAAUCAAUCAUACCUUCUUUUUUUGGCACAACUUGCAUGAGACUUACCCGAGAACUAUCAAAGAUAAGAUAGAUAAUACCUGCAUCAAAUAGCUUAAUUAUCUCAACUUUCAUUACUUCUUGUAUAUUUGGGUUCAAAUGCCUCUGAGGUUGGAUAGUAGGCUUGUAUUGUUUUUCCAUCAAAAUUUUAGGGAAAAUUCCAAGUAAGGAUCCGGAGUGGACCGAUCUUCUCAAAUAAGGACCUGAAAUUAACUUUGUGUUAGAUAAAAAUCUAAAAUGUACCUAUUAUCUCAAAUAAUGACCCAAAGUGGUUGAAUCAAUUCCAAAUAAGGAUUUGAGCUUGCUAGUUAACCAAAUAUUCGCUGGCUGUCAAGCAUGUGACAUUUCCGAUGACAAGAAUUUGGAAAAUUUUGUUUAAAAAAAAUAUAUAUGGAAAAUUAACAAAUCCUUAAAGAGAAAAAAAAAAGGCCUAGGUUUUCUACGGUCUCCUCAUUCUUUGUAUCCAUCCUUUGCAAAGUCAAAGACUGAAGUUCUCCCAAUUCCUUGUACCCAUCCUUUGCAAAGUCGAAGACCCAAAUUCUCCACCGGUUGAGGCACGAAUUCAAAAACAAGAAGAAUACCAUAUGCUUCUUUCUUUGUUUGCGGAGACCCAAAUUCUCCAUCGGUCGAGCAAGGUGAGGAGUGACAAGAAUCGAGUCACGACGAUGACCGGGUAGCGAUUUGGUUGAGGAGCAGCGAGGAAGAAGAGAGAAGAAAACAUAAACAUCUAAAUAAAUAAUUUAAACCAGAAUUUUUCAUUCUUUUCCGAUCACAAAUUUCCGACAAAAUUGCCCAUAUUUUAAUCGCUGGAAAAUGCCUGCCGAUGAGCUAAGGUCCUCAAUAGAAAUUAACUUGAUCAUUCCGGGUACUUAUUUGACACAAAAUUCACUUCAGAUCUUUAUUUGAAACAAUGAAUUUAUUUCGAGUCCUUAUUUGACACAAAGUUUACUUUGGGUCCUUAUUUGAGAAAAUAGAUUCACUUCGGAUCCUUAUUUGGAAUUUUCCCAAAAUUUUAUACAUGCAAAGUGAAGGGCUAAUUCCUUGAUAUCGGCUAUUUUCCAUCCAAUUGUGCCCUUAUGCUCUCUCAAUACUCUAAGUAAUUUCUGCUCCAUCAAAUCUAUCAAGGAAGAAGAUAUAAUUACUAGUAAAUAAGAAACUCCAUCUAAAUAAACAUAUUUCAAAUGAGAAUGUAAAUGUUUGAGUUCAAUAAUUGUAUAACAUUCAAUUGAUGGUUUCAAUUUUGUUGUGCAUUGCCCCAACUCCUCAAAUUUAAUUGUCUUUUUCCUUGAAUAUGGUGGAAUUGCCUCCAUAAAAUAUGUGUACUCAUAUAUCUCCUCACUCUAAACUUCUUUGUCCUAUUGAACUAAACAUGCUUCAAGCAGAUCUUUAAAAAUAUUUUCUUGAAAAAUCUUAUUCGUCAUCUUGUCAACUAUCUCAACUCUAAAAUAAGAAUUAUCAUCAGAAUGAUAUUUCAUUACUUUAAAAACAUUAAAGAAAACAAGAUCAUCUUGAACUCUAAAUAUUAACUUCCCCUGUUAUACAUCAAUAAGGGCUCUUCCUAUUGCUAGAAAAUAUCGACCUAAGAUAAGUAGUACCUCAAAAUCUUUCUCCAUGUCAAGAAUUACGAAAUCUGCAGGAAAGAUAAAUUUGUCAAGCUUUACCAAAACAUCUUUCACAAUACCUCUCGGAUAUUUAAUUAAUUGAUCAGCAAGUUAAAGUGAUAUUGUGGUUGCUUUUACUUGCUUAAUCCUAACUUCUUGAAAACUGAAUAAGGCAUCAGACUAAUGCCUACACCUAAAUUACACAAUGUUUUUUUCAAAGAAAGAAUCUCAAACAAUGCAAAGAAUAGUAAAACUCCUCAUAUCUUUCAAUUUGGAAUUUGUUUUGUAAGAUGGCUAAACACUCCUUAUUCAACUUCACAGUUUCAUAAUCCUCAAUUUUCCUUUUGUUUGCCAAAAUCUCCUUCAAAAAUUUUAUAUAACUAGGCAUUUACACUAAGGCAUUUGCAAAAGGAAUAUUAAUGUGCAAUUUUUUAAAUACAUCAUGAAAUUUAGAAAAUUGUUUAUCUAUUUUAUGUUGCUGGAGUCGUUGAGGGAUGAAAUUGCUAACACAUAUAUCUUGGAAUUAUUAGGAAAAAGUUUGCUCUUGCCCGCCUCCUUUGAUUAUUUAUUGAUCUCCUCUUCUUUGUCUCUAAAAAUCUCUUAUUUGACAUCUUCUUCUCCCACUUGUUUACUACUUCUCAAGAUUAUAAUCUUUAUGUUUUCAAUUGGAUUUUUCUCUAUGUUGCUAAGUAAAGAACCCUAUUGUCUCCCUAUUUGCUAAUUAACCCACUAACAUCUCUAGAUUUUUUAUUCAAGCAUCUUGAUUUUGAAAUCUCACAUGCAUAAUAAAGUCAUGAGUAGUGUUAGCAAGUUUGGUGACUAUAUCUUCCAAAUUUGACUUUAUCUCUUCUAAUUGUUUGAAUCCCAGCGAUGAUCUCAUCAUAUUCCGAUGACUCCAUAAAAAUUUGGAUAAUUAUGCCAUCUAGGUGUUGGAGUAGGGAUUAUUCUGUGACCCGUUAAAAUUCCAAACAAAGUUAGCAUUUGUAUUAAGUUGUGAAAAAGGGUUAGCUACCUAACAUUAUAUGCUAACAUGUCGUCCACCACAAAAAUCACAUGUCAAAUUCUAAAUUUUCAUGGCCAAAAUAUUCACGUUAUCUAGCUUUUUGUUGAGUGCUUCAAAUUGUGCAACAAUUGUAGCAAAAGCAUCAACUUCACAAACUGCACUAGUUUUUCACAUCGGUAACUUCUCACUAAGCGACUGAUAACUAUUUGACACAAUCUCUUCUAAUAGAUUGUAGGCUUCUUAUAGUGUUUUAUUAUUUAGAGUUUCUCAUACGGCUGUAUCAAUCAUAGAACGAAGAUUUGUACUAGAUCCAUUAUAAAAAGUUCGUACCUACAUCCAUACAGGUAGUUCGUGAUGUGGACAUCUCCUAAGAAAUUUAUUGAAUCUUUCUCAUACUUCAUAUAAUGAUUUAUUAUCCAUAUGCAUAAAUUAGUAACAUUCGUUACACAUUUUUGCAGACUUUGCAAAUGGAAAGAACUUACUAAGAAAUUUCUAAGUUAUAUCAUUCCAUGUAGUGAUCGAUCCUGUAGAGAGAGAAGAAAGCCAACUCUUAGCUUUGUCUCUGGAAGAAUGGAAAUGAUCUCAAUCUAAUAACAUCAUCCGUAACUUCAUUAUAUUUAGUGGUAUCACAGAUUUUAAGAAGAGAAUCGAUGUGAGUAUUUGGAUCAUCACUUGGUAGCCCACUAAAUUGCACUAAUUAUUAUAGCAUCUGAAUGAGUGAUGACUAAAUCCCAAAGUUGUUUGCCUGAAUUGUAGGUCUCCUAAUGCUUGAUGUGGUGCCUUGAAUUAUCGGCGCAACAGAAUCUCUCAAGAGUCCACACAGAUUUUCAUUAUCACAAUCUGCCAUCUUUUUAGCAUAAUUUCUAUGUUCUCUUAGUCGCCUUUAAGAUGUUCCUUCGGUUUCUGAAUCAAACUCAACAAGUUUCCCUUGUUAACUAUGUAUCAUAAACUGAUGUACACCCAAAAAAAAAAAAGGACAACAAAAGUUAGAUUAAACUUAGAAUUAUCCAAUAUCAAUAUUAAUUAGAAUUAAACUAACAAUCCCCGACAACAAUGCCAAAAAAUUGUUCGUAAAAUUCUAAAUAUAAGUGAACGCGUCAAACAAGUAAUAUAAUGAUAAGAAAGAGUAUUAUCUCACGGAGAUCAAUAAUUAAUAAACUAAUUAAAUACUACAAAUAGAUUAAUUCUAAAAUUUAUCUAACAUAUCAAAAUAGAAUUGUAAAUAAUUUAAAACUAAAAUCUUAACAGCAAAAUUUGGAGACUAAAUGCAGUAAAUCAAUCAGAUAAAUAUGUUAGAAUAUUUGAUUUCACCAUAACCACUAGAUAUGAGUUUCAUAUUAUUAUGCAUAUAAGAACGAUAUUAAAUAUUUGAUAGCGGAAUUUCCUAAUCUAUUUACUAUCAUAUUUCUAGGUAUAACAAACUUACUCAGUUUAUUAAUCCACUAUAUUUCUAUAUGAAUUUAAAUAAAUAUAAGUGCAUUAAAAUCUAUUAAUAUUCCUGGCCUAUAAUGAGUAUUUUGAAUCGCCUUCUCACCGAAAGCUAUAUAAAUAACAUUGUAUAUCUCUAUCAAUGUUUAAUUCAUGGUUAUAGACUAUAAUGAGCAAUUGUAUAUCAUCACUUUUUAGUCUCAAAUAUGCAUGUCAGAUUAUUUAAGUGGUGGUCAAUCACUUAAAAACAUUAAACACAAUAAUAUGUAACUCACAUGAAUAAAAUCACUUGCGUGCAUAAAAAUCAUGAAAUUCACAUCAUCGUGGUUACAUCGUAGCCCUAACAAAUGAAGAUUAGAACAUUGUAGAAGAAAUACAAAAAUAUAAAUUAAAGCAACAUUUUGAAUCAAAGAAGAAGAAUUCUGUCACCACUUUGUUUUCUCUUCAGAAUGCUCAAAAAACUCCCAAAGCAAUUAAAAAAUGAUCUAAUAAAGCCAAAAACUUAGCUAUUUCUAUUAUCCUAUACAUAGGAUAUAUUCAAGAAUCCUAACAAAUGCACUUGCUUAUUUUUUCACAUAAAUUCAAGGAAUAAAUUGCAUAAUCCUUAAUUGGAUAUCCAUCUUCCAACGUUUUUUAACUUGAAUUCAUAAAUCACAGAAUUUUCCUUUCCUUCUUUUGCCCUUUUUUUUCCUUAUUUUCUCCAUAAACAAUGAAUAUUUGGAUAUAUAGAAGGAAAUCCAAAUAUUUUCUAACGCAUAUUGCAUUACAAAGUACCAUGUUGCCUAAAAUAGAUAAAAUUCUCUAUUACUAUAGAGUUAUCAGGUUUCUACUUUAGAAUUGGUCAAAAGCUGCAUCACGAAAUCGGUGACCUAGCACCACUUAGCUAGAGGCUUCUCCUAAGCUUAACUUCAACGGCACCCCAUCAGUAGAAUUAUGCAAUUCCAUCAGCAUUGUCAAGAUUUUUACACAUCCGCACCAUAAACCUAGAAAAAUCAUGACCAUUUAUUUAGUAAAUUUAAAUGAAAUACGUGUCAAUUUCGUCACAUCGAUUAUUAAGGAAAAAAAAACAUUAGGCGGAAACACCCAUAAUAAACUAAUCUAAUUGAAUAGCAUCCUACGAUACUUAGCAACAUUAUUAAGAAGAAACAAACAUGACAGUUAGUGUCUCAUUCUAUACAUCAAUGACCAUAUUGAAACUAUGCAAUAUAGAUUCAUUGCAUAAAUAUUUCUAUUUAUUUUAUUGAUAAAUAGAUUUUAUUUUUUUUGGUCGGAUAUUGAUAAAUAGAUUGGAAAAUUGAAUUUAAAUUAGAUUUUGGAGGAAAACACAUUAUUAAGUACUAGUUAAUGUUAUCUUUAAAUUAUCUGAACUUAUUAUUGCGCGGACGCGGCAACUUGCGCGCACGCCCACUAGUUUAAAACAGAUAUUUCUCAUCAAACUUUAGGAUUAGCUCUAUCCUGCCACGUGUGCAUAAUUAUACUCAAUUAAAAUGUAGAAAAGCUACGCACUUGCAGAUCAAAUCAAUCUCAAACCACCCCCCAAAAAAAGAAAAAAAAAAUCAUUUAUCAGUCGUUGGUGUAAAUGAAACAAUUUACUGACAAACUGAAUUGCAUGAGAAUUCAAUUAUAUAUACAAUAACUAGUUUAAUCACAUACUUGAUCUCCCUUAUAUAUAAACCUACAAUUGACCCAUCCAAAUUUCUUCACAGGAAGACAAAACCGAGAUACAAAUAAGAUGCCCGCAUGCCACGAAGUACCCAGAAGUUCAAUUGUCCUUAAGUUCCCUUGAAUACAGAAACAACUUUGGCAUGAGCAUAAUUUGACUGCAUCACAUGUGGAAACAUCAUCCUUAAUGGGCCCCAUCUUGGAUAAUCAAGCUCUCAAAGAGCUAAACACCGUUCAGUAUUAUGGGAUACUAGUAAACAUCAGAGCCACCAAGCGAAAAGCACAAACCGUACACAAUAAUUGCGCACCCAUACCCAUUAUCAGCUUCGAGCUGCCAUGUUUGCUCGCAGAACUUGUGAGAUAUAUGAUAGACAAAACACAUUAUCGGCAAAAGCUGCAAAACGUAUCUUCCUAUCUCAAGGGUUGAUAAACAGUAAGAAAACAUUGCAGAUUCAAAACUGUUAUGCAAUUAGAAAGAUACACACACAAACAGAAGAGCGGGAAAUAGGUACAUUCUGAGCUACUCUAAUAAAAUCCUUGACCUGUUGACUCGGGAAGAAUCCCUGCAAUGAACAGGUCAUGACGGAAAGCAUUCCUUUUGGAGCCAUCCUAAAUGGGUACCCAACAGGAGGAGCCAAUGAUAAUCCGACCUCUCCAAGCUUGCAGCAUCCAGUUGCCGUCUUCAUUAAGCGCAAAAUCCUUGUGGUACCAUUCUUUCAUCUUACCCCUGAAGAACUUCAUGAGCUCUUGGUCCAGAGGAAGCGCCUUAAAUCCAGCCCUCAUAUGACGAACCUGCCAUUGCUUGUACGUUUCCGACCUCUCAACCCUUUCCGAACCUUCACAUGCUACAAUAUUCAUAAUUUCCCAACCAUGGAGCUCUCUCUCAAUAACCAACCUCUCAUUGCUGUCGCCAUCUAAAAUAGCAUCAAACAUAUCAUAAAUUGCGGAAAGAUGAAAAAGUGCCUCUCGGAAUCUUGUCACAAAAAAGGGCGCAUUGAAGGAGCCGUUAGAUACAGCAUGAACAAAAAUAUCUGGUUUAAUCUGCCAAAUUAGAUUCAACACAGCAUCCCGUGGACAGUUGUCCCCAACUGUCUCAUCAAGGAGAAUCCUAAACCGAUCUGAACUAUUCACAGCAACUAUCUCAUUGCUUUGAAUCUUGAGAUCCUCGAGUUUGACAGAUUCCCAAUUCUUCGAUACUAUGUAAUUGAAUUCAAAAGGGACAUUAAAACGCUUACAACACUUUUCCAAAUGACGACCUGUCUCUUCUAGUUUUUCUGACGGGCGGAAACCAGCCUGUGGAAGCUCUAUCCCUGUGAUGCGCAAUUUACAGGGCCCUUCUGAUCGAGAAGAGAGCUUCUGGAUGAGGGUUGGCCAUUGAAAACCAAAUCCAAUGCCAAAAUCUAUUAUAUGCAAGGUAGUGGCUUUCUCUGCAAAUCUCAAAAUCAUGUAAUUUGCAAAGCAAAUGGAUAACUUACUAAACGGACAUGUUGAAAUGUGAAGGUGGUAAGCUUUCAAGAUAUCGGCUGCUGAGGUCCUCCUGGCGACAUAAAUAGAAAAAAGGUGUUGCAUUCGAGUCCCGCUGCCCACCAAUCGUGCCUCUAGCCCAUUGGCAAAGUAAUGGGCCAGUCUUUGAGAGGCAUCCCCAGAUGGAGAAGAGUUCUCCCUAAUCUGCUUCAACGAUUCAUUAGCAGUCCUGAAAUCACUAGUAGAGAUGGCUUGUGCACAGAGAAUCAGAAGAGUUCUCAAGUCAACAGUAUUUUCACUUCCCUGCUUCUUGCCACGGCCUCUACCUCUGUUGGAACUGUGCACGUUCCUCUGUGACCGUAUGUCUUUGCUCAGCCCUGUCUCCGCAGAUUUAUCACCGGAACACAUAGCCUCCACCAUUUUCGUUGCAUAGCAACAACUUAUCGAACAAAUCGGAAAACUCACUCUCUUCUGUAUACAAGGCUGUUUGCUUCUUGGCCUUGCCUUCGUCAAAAGCAUCCUCGUCCCUCUUGUGAUUUUUUAAUCCCUUGAAUUUAUCAGUUGAGCGCCUCAUGUUGAUCUCCUCACUGAUGCGCAUUCUUGGGGUUCCUUUCUCUGUUUCUGAUGGCGGUUUGCUGUCCCCUGGGUUAAUUCCUAAUUGAUUGUUGGUAGGAAGGAAUUUGCUGGCCUCCUCUAAUCCUUUCUUGAACUGAACCAUAGACUCACUAGCAGUGAAAAUGCUCUUGACAAGAAGCUCGUGCAAAGAUUCCUCAGACCCAUCAUAAUUUGUGAUGCUGCUUGAAGAUUUGGACAACAUCCGUGAACUGGAAUCCGCGUUUGACUGGAAGUCCAGGUCAGAAUUUUCCUGCACAGCAUGGCCAUGUUCUUCGAUCGUGUAAAGAAUAUUAGCAUCAGCUGAGUCGCUAGAGCUAACAGUAACGCUUGCAGCAUCGAGGCUUCCACGAGCACUGCUACUUCCAGAAAGUUUGCUAUUUGGGCUCUCGAUAUUAUGGCUUAAAACAAGCUGUGAGGGGCUUUGGUCAGACACCUCUGAAUGCUGCUGACCAAGGGCAUCGUACAAUGACUUUUCAGCAUUCUGCAGAGCAACCUGAUUAGCAAAUUCCCACGGUUGCUCCUCCAUGUUCUCUUCCAUAAGCAUCUGACUUAUGUACUUUAGAACAGGAUCCGAUGAGUCCGUGUCCCCCGAUGGGGAGAGCGAAUAUCCCCCUAAACUCAGGGCACUAUUCGAGCUCAUAGAUGGGCCAAAUGGGCCUCCAUCUGAGAUCCCGCUUGUCGAGGGAAACAUUAAAUCUCCAAUACCGAGGUCUACCGAUGUUGAAGGGAGAUCAUUCGCAGGGUCUACUUCAUUCAAAAGAAAAGCACUAUCUGAGGAUUUAAGGUCGAGGAAAGGGUCAUCCAAAAAGAAACCAUCUGUGAGACCCGAGUAUCGAUCCGGACUAGGUGAAAAGGCAUGGCUAUCUAUGGGACGAUCAUCUCCAUUGAUACGAGCAGAGAAAUCAAAGAACAAAGGAUCCAUGGUCAUGUAUUCUUCUCACUCAUACCCUAUCAAAGUCCCUACCCUAACAUCAUGUUUUGAUGCAAACCACCAGUAUAUUUGGACUCCCAGAACAUCGACCGACUAAUUUGAAAUGCUCUCAGCCUGCAACAAAAGAACUCGCUCUCCAACCAUCUUCUUUUUUUUCUCUUCGUUUGCUCAAACGACUUCGAUUUGAAGUCAAAGAAUCCAAGAACGGACGGAUCACUUGCCGUGAGAAAAGCGGAGCACUUCAAAGGCAAAGGACCGCGCGGAAAGUAAACAUCGAAAUGCUCCUCCAAAGCAAAUGAAAAGAAAAGGCAAGGAACCCGAUUUUUCAUUUACGAGAUAGAAAAGGAAAAACAAAGGUUGGAUCUGCAUACCACAAAUGUGAAAGUGGGUUUGGAAGCUGAAUAAAGGCCCAUCUGAUGACAAGUUUCCUUCGAUGCGAUUCUUGUACGAGCGAAUCAGCUGACUAAUGAAUGCGUGAAGGUCGGAAUACUCCACGACGUAGACGAGCUGGAAGACUCGACUUCGACUGGAUAUCCGUAGAGAGAAUGGUGCAGGAAGAACUAGGUCAAACAAUAAGGCGCGCCCGGAUGGUCUCCGUCCGCGCGUCUUCCGCUUCGUGUACGAUGUAUCUGACCUUCGAUCGGCGGAACGAUCGGUCAACCAUUGGUCCCGCUUUGACAAGCUGCAAAUGAUGAUGCGUUAUGCUUUUUUUGGCUCGAAAAGAUGCGUCAUUUUUUUCCCGUCGUAAAAAGAUGCGUUAUGUUUUUUUGUCAUAAAAAUAUGCAUUAUUUUUUUUUCUUUUUGGUCAUAAAAAGAUGCGUUAUGUUUAUCAGCCACUAAAUGACGGCCGCUACGAGACGAAAAUGUAGAAACAAAGACACAGAAAACUCCUGGAAAAUAACCACUAAAUAUUCUCAAAUCAGGACCACUGUGUACCGAUUAAUACCCGUGCUAUUAAAAACUCCAAAGUACGUAAGCAUUAAUAUUGUUGUAAUGCCAAUGUGAAAGCUAGCCGAGAUCUUACAAUUUAUAUCGCUGCAAAAUUACUUGAGAAAAUAAAUGAGGAACGAUAAAGGAAUCAAAAGAUUUACGUGAUUUGGCGGGAAGUGUCGAUAUCACAGCAGAAUUAGUAGCAAAAACUCCAUCGUAAUGGGAGAAUCAAAAUUUAUAAUUAUUCGCAAGCUCAGGUUUUACUCAAGGUGUUUACAAAUAAAUAUCAUAUAUCUACAUCUCUUCUCAUACAUUUCAGCUCCUUUUCCUUUCCUAGGCAUGUCUUGUUUGUGUCUAUGAUCCUUGUCUCUCAAGGAACACCCUUCAGUAUAGGGGUGAUCAGUUGGGAACCAAGGACUGGACCAAUUGGUCCUAAGAUUGGGAACCGGACUCGACCAUCGGUUUUAUCCGGUCCAAUAGAACCCGUCACUAUUCUCUUUUUAUGUUUCCAUCCGAAUAUUUAAUUGUCCAAAACAUGACUUGGAAACAAAUGCAGAACUCAAGACAAAUCUUUUACUUGCAUCCAUAUUUUCCUGGAAAAAAUAAACUAGCCAUUCCUUUUUGCAGACCUUUGCUUCCCUACGUGGCUCUUUGCAUUAAAAAAUGUAUACAUAAUCGGUCUAAUCCAAUCCAAUUCCCUCUUGGAUUGAAAAUUAGACUGACACUUUCGAAAACUGGAUUCAACCAGCCAUUCCUUUUUGCAGACCUUUGCUUCCCUACGUGGCUCUUUGCAUUGCACGAAGGAACCCGCGGCGGCUACAUGGUGGGAAAGGGACGACGUAGGGCUUAGCCGAAAGAAAACCUAUGUUUUUAACUUUGCUUUCCUUUCUUAUUUCUAAUUUGUCCUGGCCCCACGUUGCUUCCUUUCGUCCACGCCCACUUCCUGGUCAAAUGUUCGAACUUGGACAAAUGAAUAAUCAGUGCAUAACCUGAGCUAAAUCUCGCACAUUUAUCCAAUCAUGUAUCAGGUCAGUUCCGUAUAGGGCUCAUACUCAAAAUAUAUUUUAACAAUUAUCAAUAGCCUGCCUUGAUCUAGUCUAAUACCAUUGUCAAAAAUAGUAUAUUUUAACAAAUAUCAAUAGCCUGCCUUGAUCUAGUCUAAUACCAUUGUCAAAAAUAGUAUAUUUUAACAAAUAUCAAUAGCCUGCCUUGAUCUCGUCUAAUACCAUUGUCAAUUAUGUUACGUGGCUGGUCACAAAGACAAUGGAAAGUAAAUGAGACUAAUAUGAAUCCAACAUGACUUUAAUGAAGAAAAAAUGAGGUUUUUUUAGCAAGGCAUUAUUUCUUUCAUUUUUACCUUUUUCACAAAAAGGAAAAUAUUAGAAAAUUGAUAAUUUCUUGUGUGCUUUGUAUUUUCCAUUGAUGUUUGUAUAGGUGAGUGAUCCCGAAUAAUCCAUCCUCAUUCAGCUCAACAACUCAUCCUUCGACCCAUAGACGCCCCUCUCUAAUUGGAGUUCGAGCUCUGGUGUGUCCAAUUGUUGUGAUUGGUCUAGCGUCUCAGUAAACUUAAUUCCUAAGCUUUCAUCUCUCAACAUCACCAUGAAUGGGGGAGAGAGAGAUGAAAACAGUAAACUUAAUUCCUAAGCUUUCAUCUCUCAACAUCACCAUGAAUGGGGGAGAGAGAGAGAUGAAAACCUAAUUUUUGCUAAUCAACUUUAGCAACCAAAACAACGUCAUUUUUGUUUCCUAGCCACAUCAAAUUAUUUCCCAAUAAACCGUUGUUUUUCACUACAACCUUUCGUUGUCAGUACUCCAACAACAGUUUUGAAAGGAACUGUGACUGAGCAUGUUGUCAUGAAAACUAAUGUCACAAUUAGUAUAAUUUGGGAUUUUUAAUGUUAUUUUUUCAUUUUUCAAAUUAGAUGAAUUUGAGAUUUUUUUUUUCCUUAAAACCGCUUGUGGAUAUCAGUUUCUACUUUUAAUAUGGUCAAAAUCUGCAUCACGAAAAUGGGGCCUAGCAUCACUGGUUAAAGGCCUAGCUAGAGGCUUCUCCUAAGCUUAACUUCGACGGCACCGCAUGGGGAAAAAACUAUGCAAUUCCAUCAGCAUUGUCAAGAUUUUCGCACUCCGAACUAUAAAUCCCUAGAAAAUCAUGACCAUAUAUUUUGUAAAUUUAAAUUUUAUUACAUAGAUUAUUAAGAAAAAAAUUCAUCAAGCAGGACAAAACAAAAUAAAUUAAUUUAAUUGAAUAGCAUUCUAUGAUAUUUAACAACAUUAAUAGAAAGAAAAAAAUAUAACAGUCCCGGUGUCUCAUUCUCAUACAUCAAUACCACGAUUCCAUAACUGUGUAGCUGUCGGAACUAUGCGAUAUCGAUUCACUACAUAAAUAUUUGUGUUUAUUUUAUUGAGAAAUGGAUUGGAAAAUGAAUCUUAGAUUUUGGAGUAAAAGAAACUAUUUAUGUUUAUUCACAUGUGUUGAUUUUAUUACAUCGAUUCAAGCAAGACAAAACAGAAUAAAUUAACAAAAUUGAAUAGCACUCUGCGAUAUUUAACAACAUUAGUAGGAAGGGAAAAAAACAUAGCAGUGAGUUUCUCAUUCUUCUACAUCCAUGGCCAUGAUUCCAAACUGUGUAGCUAUUAAAACUGUGCGAUAUUGAUUCCCUGCAUAAAUAUUUCUGUUUAUUUUAAUGAGAAAUAGAUUGAAAAAUGAAUCUUAGAUUUUGGAGGAAAAGAAACUACUUCUAUUUAUUCACACAUGUUGAUUUUAUUAUAUCGACAAUUAUUAAGAAAAACUUUUCAUCAAGCCAAAACAAAUUAUAUAAUUGAAUAGCAUUCUAUGAUAUUUAACAACAUUAAUGAGAAGAAAAAUCAUGGCAAUCAGUAUCUCAUUCUUUUACAUCAAUGGCUGUGAUUCCAAAACUAUGUAGCAAUUGAAACUAUGCAAUAUUGAUUCACUACAUAAAUUUUUCUGUUUAUUUUAUUGAGAAAUAGAUUGGAAAAUGAUUCUUGGAUUUUGAAGGAAAAGAAACCAUUAAGUGCUAAUUAACGUGGGAGCUUACUAUCGCAAGGAACUGGCAACAUGUGGGCACACCCACUAAGAUAUUUGCUCAUUAAACUUUAGGAUUGGCUGUCACCUCCCAAUGCAUGGUUAUGCUUAAUUAAAAUGCAGAAAACCUAGAACUUUUGCAGAUCAAAUCAACCUCAUCCCCCUCCCCCCCAUCUAUCAGACAGUGGUGUAAAUGAAACAAUUUAUUGACAGACUGGAUUGCAUGGGAAUUCCAUUAUAUCUACAAUAACUAGUUUAAUCACAUACUUGAUCUCCCUUGUAUAUAAACCAGCAAUUGACCCAUACAAAACAGAGAUGCAAAAACAAUGCCAGAAUGCCAGAAAGGAUCCAGAAGUUCAAUUGCCCUUGAGUUCGCUUGAAGACAGAAACAACUUUGGCAUGAGAACAAUUUGACUGCAUCACAUGUGGAAACAUCAUCCUUUACGAGCCCAACCUUGGGUACUCAAGUUCUCAAAAAGCUAAACAGCUUGCGGUACGAUAGGACACUAGUAAACAACAGAGCCAUCAAGCGAACAGCACAGACCGUACAUGAUAAUCCUGCACCCACAUCCAUUAUCAGAUUCGAGCAGCCUUGUUACUUGCAGAACUUGUGAGAUACAGGAUAGAGAAAUCACGACAAACUAUCUGCAAAAUUCGCAAUGUGGUGCGGCAUAGAAGCUGUCAAUUGUAUCUUCCUAUCUUGAUUAACAGUAAGACAAUAAACAGUCAGACAACAUUGCAGAUUCAAAAUUGUUUGCAAUUAAAAAUAUACAUCCACAAACAGAAAGAGUGGGAAAUCAGUAGAGUCUGAGCUACUCUAAUAAAAUGCCUAGACCUGUCAACCAGGGAAGAAUCCCUGCAAUGAACGGAUCAUGACAGAAAAUAUUCCUUUUGGAGCCAUCCUAAGCGGGCACCCAACAGGAGGAGCAAUAAUUAAUCCGACCUCUCCAACCUUGCAGCAUCCAGUUGCCAUCUUCAUCAAGCGCAAAAUCCUUGUGGUAACAUGUUUUCAUCUUACUCCUGAACAACUUCAUGAGCUCUUGGUCCAGAGGAAGCGCCUUAAACCCAGCCCUCAUAUGACGAACCCGCCACUGCUUGUAUGUUUCUGGCCUCUCAACCCUUUCCGAACCUUCGCAUGCUAUGACAUUCAUAAUUUCCUGGCCAUACAACUCUCUCUCAAAAACAAACCUCUCUUUGCUGUCACCAUCUAAAAUAGCAUCAAACAUAUCAUAAAAUGCAGAAAGAUCAAAAAGUGCUGCACGGAAUCUUGUCGCAAAAAAGGGCGAAUUGUAGGAGCCACUACGUACAGUAUGAACAAAAAUAUCCGGUUUCAUUUGCUGAAUUAGAUUCAACACAGCAUCCCGUGGACAGUUGUCCCCAACUGUCUCAUCAAGGAGAUUCCUAAACCGAUCUAAACUACUCACAGCAACUGUCUCAUUGCUUUGAAUCUUGAGAUCCUCGAGUUUGAUGGAUUCCCAAUUCUUCGAUGCUAUGCAAUUGAAUUCAAAAGGGACAUUAAAACGCUCACAAAACUUCUCCAAAUGACGACCUGUCUCCUCUAGUUUUUCUGACGGGCGGAAACCAGCCUGUGGAAGCUCUAUCCCUGUGAUGCGCAAUUUACAGGGCCCUUCUGAUCGAGAAGAGAGCCUCUGUAUGAGGAUUGGCCAUUGAAAACCAAAUGCAAAGCCAAAAUCUAUUAUAUGUAAGGUAGUGGCUUUCUCUGCUAUUCUCAAAAUCAUGUAAUUUGCAAAGCAAAUGGAUAACUUAAGAAACGGACAUGUCGAGAUAUUAAGGUGGUAAGCUUUCAAGAGAUCGGCUGCUGAGGUCCUCCUGGCGACAAGACUUGAAAUGAAGUGUUGCGUUCGAGGCUCGUUGCCCAACAAUCGGGCCUCUAGCCCAUUGGCAAAGUAAUGGGCCAGUCUUUGAGACCCAUCGCCAGAUGGAGAAGAGUUCUCUCUAAUCUGCUUCAACAAUUCAUUAGCGGUCCUGAAGUCACUAGUAGAGAUGGCUUGGGCACAGAGAAUCAGAAGAGUGCUCAAGUCAACAGUAUACUCACUUCCCUGCUUCUUGCCACGACCCCUACCUCUAUUGGAACCGCGCUUUUUCCUUUGUGGUCGUAUGUCUUUGCUCAGCCCUGUCUCCACAGAUUUAUCGCCAGAACACAUAGCCUCACCAUUUUCGUUGCAUAGCAACACCUUGUCGAACAAAUCGGAAAAUUCACUCUCCUCUGUAUACAAGGCUGUUUGCUUAUUGGCCCUGCCUUCGUCAAAAGCAUCCUUGUCCCUCUCGUGAUUUUUUAAUCCCUUGAAUCCAUCAGUUGAGCGCCUCAUGUUGAUCUCCUCACUGAUGCGCAUUCUUGGGGUUCCUUUCUCUGUUUCUGAUGGCGGUUUGCUGUCCCCUGGGUUAAUUCCUAAUUGAUUGCUGGUAGGAAGGAAUUUGCUGGCCUCCUCUAAUCCUUUCUUGAACUGAAGCAUAGACUCACUAUCACUGAAAAUGCUCUUGACAAGAAGCUCGUGCAAAGAUUCCUCAGACCCAUCAUCAUAAUUUGUGAUGCUGCUUGAAGAAUUGGACAACAACCGUGAACUGGAAUCCACGUUUGACCGGAAGUCCAGGUCAGAAUUUUCCUGCGCAGCGUGGCCAUGUUCUUCGAUCGUGUAAAGAAUCUUAGCAUCAGCUGAGUCACUAGAGCCAACAGUAAUGCUUGUAGCAUCGUGGCUUCCACGAGCACUGCUAAUUCCAGAAAGGUUGCUAUUUGGGCUCUCGAUAUUAUGGCUUAAAACACGCUGUGAGGGGCUCUGAUCAGACACCUCUGAAUGCUGACCAAGGGCAUCGUACAACGACUUUUCAGCAUUCUGCAGAGCAACCUGAUUAGCAAAUUCCCACGGUUGCUCCUCCAUGUUCUCUUCCAUAAGCAUCUGACUUAUGUACUUUAGAACAGGAUCCGAUGAGUCAGUGUCCCCCGAUGGGGAGAGCGAAGCUCCCCCUAAACUCAGGGCACUAUUCGAGCUCAUAGAUGGACCAAAUGGGCCUCCAUCUGAGAUCCUGCUUGUCGAGGGAAACAUUAAAUCUCCAAUACCGAGGUCUACAGAUUUUGAAGGGAGAUCAUUGGCAGGGUCUACUUCAUUCAAGAGAAAAGCACUAUCUGAGGAUUUAAGGUCGAGGA